rnacentral:rRNA from 1 species
CCUGCGGAAGGAUCAUUAUUGAGUUCUAAUGAAGAGUUUGGUUGUAGCUGGUCUAUUUAUUUAGGCAUGUGCACACCUCCCUCAAUCAUCCCACACACACCUGUGAACUUGUGAGACAGUUGGGGAAUUUAUUUGUUAUUUUUUGUAAUAAAAUGAUAAUAAAUCAUUGAACCCUUCUGUCUACUCAACUCACAUAAAAUCAAUUUAUUUUAAAUGAAUGUAAUGGAUGUAACACAUCUCAUACUAAGUUUCAACAACGGAUCUCUUGGCUCUCGCAUCGAUGAAGAACGCAGCGAAAUGCGAUAAGUAAUGUGAAUUGCAGAAUUCAGUGAAUCAUCGAAUCUUUGAACGCACCUUGCGCUCCUUGGUAUUCCUUGGAGCAUGCCUGUUUGAGUAUCAUGAUAUCUUCAAAAUCAAUCUUUUUGUUAACUCAAUUAGUUUGAUCCUGGUAUUGGAGGUCUUUUGCAGCUUCACACCUGCUUCUCUUUGUGUAUUAGCUGGAUCUCAGUGUUAUGCUUGGUUCCACUCAGAGUGAUAAAUUAUCUAUCGCUGAGGACACUGUAAAAAGUGGCCAAGGUAAAUGCAGAUGAACUUCUUCUAAUAGUCCAUUGACUUAGACACUAUUAUUAUGAUCUGAUCUCAAAUCAG